rnacentral:misc_RNA from 1 species
UCCGAGUUGGCCCCGGCAGUCUCCUACGAGUCCCCGGCAUAACCCGCUGGCAACAUAGGACAAGGGUUGCGCUCGUUGCGGGACUUAACCCAACAUCUCACGACACGAGCCGACGACAGCCAUGCACCACCUGUGAUCGUGCCCCGAAGGGAGGGCGUGUUUCCACGCCUGUCACGAACAUGUCAAGCCCAGGUAAGGUUCUUCGCGUUGCGUCGAAUUAAACCACAUGCUCCGCUGCUUGUGCGGGCCCCCGUCAAUUCCUUUGAGUUUUAGCCUUGCGGCCGUACUCCCCAGGCGGGGCACUUAGUGCGUUAGCUGCGGCACGGGAGGAGUCGACACCUCCCACACCUAGUGCCCAUCGUUUACGGCGUGGACUAC